rnacentral:lncRNA from 1 species
GGAGAUAUACGUGUUUCAGUGCAUCCGCUACUCGCAAAAUCUUUACGCAAAUGAAUUGCCAUUGUAGUACCCUUGUGGUGAUUUACUGCGUCGUAUGGAGCCACUUAACUGGAGCACAUGGAAGAGCUUUGAGUGUGGAAAAUGUCGUACAAAGAAGCAGCCAAGGUACUAUAGGUUCUGAAGGAUGUCCGAACCAACCGUACUUAUGUGAAGAAGAAUGCAAAUCUCAAGGCUAUCCAGGAGGACGCUGUGGUUACCUGGCGCCUACGGUCUGCUUGUGCGACAUACAAGGGCGUGCACUUUCGUCACAGUAGCAUGAACUGCUCACCUCCUCGCCUAUGUAAUUAACGUGACUUCUUUUCGCGUAGUCGAUGCUUCAAUUACAAAACCCUUAUUUGUGAACACUAGUUGUGAAACAGAUCGGAAGGCUCAAUGAUAAGCGCGUGUGGGCAAAAAUAAACGGAAA